rnacentral:ncRNA from 1 species
CCGGCUCCGGUUCACGUCCUGUCCCGCGACACCACCGCACCCGUCGGUGGCGCGCGGGAGUCCCACCAGGGCGACCCGGCGGCC